rnacentral:lncRNA from 1 species
UGGAACUCGUUUAAUAGUUUAUACACAACCCUUAGGAUCCAACUCCUUUAGAUAUUGAAUUUUCAUCUCCUCGUCUCCUGGCAUUUGAGGAGAAUGUAAUUAUAUAUAUUAUAACGAAUUUUUUUCUUACUUUUUUUUAUUUUGCUUUGUUCAUGUAUUUGCUACUUUGAAUUUGAAACAUUCUUUCCUCUAAGGAGUUUUCGUUCUUCAUUCAUUUGCUUUUCUC